UAGCAUAUUAGCUCAAGCCCAUAGCUCUAAAACAUCUCUAAUCUGUAUCCCCCACAGAAUCCAUAAUCUAACCUAAAUGAAAUCUCAAACCCAAUUCGGCAAUUCCAAUUGCCUUCUCCAUCUCCAAUCUCUUUUUUAAUGCAAUAUUCCCAAUUGACAAUGUUAAACCCUAAAUUUCCUUCCGAAUCCCCAUCCCUACGCUGACGCCCUCUACGAAGUUCUGCUCAAAGGUGCUGAAAAUGUCACUUCUGUUCUUGAAGAAAUGGUCAAGCUCGUAAGUCCCAUUUUCUUACAUUGGAGGAAUGGAAUUUCAAUUUCGAUAUCAUUUUCGUUUCUAUUUCUUGUUGUCUUUUGCUUAUUUCAAAAGGAAUGUUUUAUUUAUAAAUUAUAUACUAUUAACCGUUAAUACCUAGUUCUGUGAACUCUAUAUUACUUUUUGCGUGUUAAUUUUGUUUUCACUGUUAAAUAUUAUGUUAUCUUUUGAUGGAUGGACUUGUGGUUGUGGACAGCUUCCCCGAUUCCCGUCCUGAUUCCUGUUCCUUUCAGCGAAGAAGAUGCUCUAAUUGCUGGCUACUCUGGUAGAAGAGAAGCUCCAAUCUACUUCCCUUAGUAAGUUAGCGCCUUUCUCUCGCUACUUGAACGUGUAUAUUUGUAUAAUAGUAUGUAAAAGAAGAAAUAGAAUCUCCAAAUUAAAACAUUGGUUUGAAGUGAUUGCGUUUUGCUUUAUGAAUUAGGA
rnacentral:lncRNA from 1 species